UGGAAGUCUUUCUUGCCUUUAGGUUUUCCAGU
rnacentral:piRNA from 1 species